rnacentral:lncRNA from 1 species
CUAAGGAGAGCAGUGAUGAGGAGAUGAGUGACCUCAGAAGAUUUAGAUGCUAGUAAAACCUUCCUAGGGUAGCCAACCUCAUAGAGAGAAAAGGGAGCUUGAAUUCUCAUCUUUUCUCCAAAAGAAACCCUAAGGAUGAAAUGGCUAUAAAGUUGCCCUUAUACCACCUCACAAUGGAGUGGCAAGCAAUUAAGCUAAGUUCACUACCCCUCUCUAUAUGGCCGGCCAUUAAUGGUUCAUUGGGCUUUCAAGCCCUUAGUGUUUUCAAGUUGUCAUACAACUUGAGUUAAUGGGCUCGACAUUCAAAUCCCAUUGGGCUUUGCGGCCUGAUAUGAGCAUAUUUAUGCGACUAAGUUAGCUUGUUCUCAUGCAUUUAUGUUGUUAUUUCUUAGUUAAUUAUGUAUUUUAAGCUAUUUUCGUGUGUUUGUAGGUCCAUAGGCCUUAUAAAGCAAUAAGAUGCAUUUUGGAGCAGUUUUGGGCUUGGAAUGAAUAGCAUAUGCAUGGAGCAAGGUGGAUGGAAAAAAUUGAAGACUAAAGAGGCUAGGAAUGUGUUAAAGAGAAAGAAGAAUUAAUGUAAAAAUGACAAAGAGCUCAGCUAUAAAGGGGCUCCACCAUUCACCUUUCCAUCAUUAUCGUGCACCACCAUUGCACUCCCUUUGGAUUCCUAUGUCGUGCAUCAUCAUCCAUGUUCCCUCCAUUGACUCAUUUGUUGCAUCAUUCCACUUCUUUUCCUUUGUCUACCAUGUGCACAAUAUCCUUUCACUUCCUUGCACUCAUUGAUUGACCACUUACUCAUCUUUCCACCCAUGCCAUGCAUAAUCACCCUUGUCCCCUUCAUUAUUUCAGAUUUCAUGCAUCAUUACAUUGAAUCAUUGCACUCAAUUGCUACACCAUUCCUUGUUCCUUCCAUCAUUUCAGAUUCAUGCAUCAUUACAUUGAAUCAUUGCACUCAAUUGCUACACCAUUCCUUGUUCCCUCCAUCAUUUCAGAUUUCAUGCAUCAUUGCACUCAAUUGCUACACCACUUCAUGUUCCCCUCCAUUGCCAUGCACUUCCUCUAUAAAAGGAAAUGUGUGUAACAUAAAUUGAGUUCAUACUUGGUUAAAUCAUUCACUCCCAUUUCAACACAACCUUCAUCCAAACACAUCCAUUCCUCCAUACAAACAACCCUUCAAACACUCACCAACACCUUGUGCCGUAGCAAAGGAAGGGAAGGAAAGUGCUUGGACGUGCUUGCUGUCCAACUUGGAUCGUUAGAGCGUUUAGGUGUUUUCUUUCUUUUGUUUCUAAUGUUUAAAUUCAUUUCCUUUCGUUUUGUUGUAAAUAUGAGUGGCUAAACCCCUCUUGGCUAGGGGUGAUUUCAAAGCCAUAAUUAUGUGUGUAAUAUAAUUUGAUAAAUUCCAGUUAUGAACUCUUGAAUCGUGAAUGCAAUUGGCUUAACUAUUUGAUUGAUAACUUAUUUGUAUUUGUUAAUUAAGGGUCGACACUUAAUUGGCAUGCAUAAAUCCGUUGCUAUAAUAUAAGAAAGUUUCACAUAAUCGUUACAAACUUAUAUUCACAUGUAGUGAAGGUCGCUUAUAAAUGAUCGGGUUAAGUUCAAUUCCUAGCAUGAGUGACAUGAUGUCAUAGUUGCAAUUGCUUUGUCAAUGCUUAUGAUUUUCAUUAAACGUAAUGAUCUUUGAUUGUAUCUCUAUUAUAAUGUCAUGUAGGGAACUUUUGAAGAAUGUUUUGGGUUGUCGAAUGAUGUCAUCCAAUCCAAUAGUUGUUUGCAUGCAUAUCAUGUGUGGAGAAAAAGCCUAUAGCCAUCCCAUCCAUCAUCUUAUUUCUCACAUUCGUUUUACAAUCUGUCUCAUUUUUCAUACUUGUUUGUUUGUUUCAACUUCAUCCAAAUCAAAACACCCCUUUUAGUUUCUUGUUUCAAAGUGUUUCAAAUCUGUUUUAGUUUGUGUUUUUAAGUGUUUUGAUUCAAGUAAAAGUCAAUUUUCGUCUAAAGUCAUUCCUAGUGUCUAAUUUAAGUUUAUUUUGUUGUUUUAAGCUGUUUUGAGUAUUUUAAGUUUGCUUUGAGUCUUGUGAGUCUUGUUAAGUGUUUUUAAGUUUAGUUUUAUGUUUUUGAGUCAGUUUAGAGGUUAUUAGCAAGCCCUCCUAAUCCCGGUCCCAAACGAUCCCUACUUAUACUUGUACUACAAUUGUCAAAAGAGGGUUAAAUUUUUGUGUUAAGAUAAUUUUCGCAUCACGGCCCAAAACUAACCCGGGGUCUAUAACGAACAUAUUCGUUUGAUUAAUUAACAUAUUAAUUAAUCUUAGCCAUAAAUAAUUAAACCAUUUAAUAAUCCUUACUCAUUUCCAUUGCUUCUUCAAUCUCUACCUUACUCGGUGUACGAUCUAUUAGGUUCCUUUUAACGAGGCAGUGGGCGAUUGUUACUCUUAACGAUCGAUUGUCAAUUAAAACAUACUUUCAAUUCUCCUUUUAGUGAUUACUCACCUUUAGGGCUUCCACAAACCAUGAGUGACACCUAGCAGUAUGUUAUGGCUACCUAAGCUAAUCAUAAGAGGUGGAGAACUUAUUCAAUUUAGGAUUACAAUGCAAUAUGGUCUUUCUUUAAUACAAUAUUCUUGACCAUAUUGUUUGGUUUGAUAGUUUAUUCAUGCCUACUAUCAAAUGUGAUUCUCUUACUUAUAUGAUUACCUUGAAUGUGAUUUGGAACGACUUCCUAAAUCUCAUUCAUACUCUAGCCAGAGAUUCUUAAUCAUAUCAUAAAGUAUUCUCCCUCAAAUGGUUUGGAGGUUAGAGAUCCCUUGUUGCGCAUUCAGUUGCCUCCAUGGCUAAGUGGCUUAACCCCAACUAUGCUGUGGAUACCCUAUGAUGGAGUGACUUUAACAUAGUCAAAGAUCAAUGACCUAACCAUAAGACAACUAUGAUGCCUCAGGUCAAAUGACUACUUUGCAUUAUCCCAACCAUGAGUUUUCAUGUGACAUGAGUAUUAGAACUCCUUGUUGAUCGUGUUCAGUGGACUCAUUCUUUAUUGAGCACCUACAUGCUUGUCUUGGUGUCAGUCACACCAAUGACUUGAGACCAAUCACUCUCCCUAAGAGAAGACAUAACACAUACUGAUCUUAACGGACUGUCAAUGCCCAAUUGGCAAUCCUAUGAUCAGGAACAUAUAGGAUAUAUAUACGAAAGAGAAUGGUCUCAUGAAUCUAACUUCUUUAGAUCACAUUCUCCCAAUUACAUAUUCCUUGGACUUAUCGUUUAAGCAUAUAACAUUUAUACGAGACAGCUUCAAACAAUAAUUUUUGCCCUUUAUAUUAAACUAGAUUAGUUUAACAUGUGAAAUGUUCGUAAAGUAUCAUCAUAUGAUUGGUUUUAGGGCACAUUUCCAGCACAUGGUUGAUAGGAAAUUGGCACCUCUUCCUUGUCCUCAUAAAUCUCAUCAUGAAGUCCUAUGUGGACUCAUGCUCAUAUUGCUUCACCUCAACUAGAUCGUUAAUAGUUAUCUCGGGCUCCACCUUAUAGAACUGCUCGUGAAAAGUCAUCUCCAUUUGCCCCUAGCUAGCAAUA